AGCUUUGUGCAGUGGCAGUAUCAUAGCCAAUGAGGUUUAUCCGAGACGCAAUUAUUGCUAAUUGAAAACUCUUCCCAAUACCCCGCGGCGACGACUUGGAAUAUAGUUGGCACUGUCAUUUUUCUCUACGGAGA
ensembl:snRNA U4 U4 spliceosomal RNA